rnacentral:lncRNA from 1 species
UUCAUUGCUUGAUAAGAGUUUACAUGCUGGUUUUUGAUUAAUGCUGUAGUGUAAAUAUUUUAUUUGAAGCUAUGUCAGGUUCUCAGAGUAAAAAAGCUGUUAAAGAAACACCAUUACCUAUACCAUUUGGACAUUUUGUGCUUCAAGUUUUCCCUUCUACCUGUUACUUAUUUUCUUUGUUAUAGGUGACAAUUUGUCUGAGGCAGGAGCUGCAUCAGUUAUACAUUCAGAUACUUCAAGUCAGCCCAGUGUAGCCUAUUCCUCAAAUCAAACGAUGGGCUCUCAAAUGGUUUCUAACAUCCCGCAGGCUGAAAUAAAUGUCCCAGGACAAAUUUAUUCAUCUCAGCAACUAGUAGGACAUUACCAGCAAGUUUCAGGGUUACAGAAGCAGCCAAAGCUGACUCAGCCGCAGAUUUUGCCUUUGGUACAAGGUCAGUCCACUGUUUUACCUGUACAUGUGCUUGGACCAACAGUUGUUUCACAACCCCAGGUUUCCCCAUUAACUGUUCAGAAGGUCCCACAGAUAAAGGUAAGACACAUUUUAGAGGUUCUGUAUUCAUUUAAAUAAAUUUAAUACUGCCUAGAUUUUCUGACA